AGCAGCCGCGGUAAUUCCAGCUCCAAUAGCGUAUAUUAAAGUUGUUGUGGUUAAAAAGCUCGUAGUUGAACCUUGGGCCUGGCUGGCCGGUCCGCCUCACCGCGUGUACUGGUCCGGCCGGGCCUUUCCCUCUGUGGAACCCCAUGCCCUUCACUGGGUGUGGCGGGGAAACAGGACUUUUACUGUGAAAAAAUUAGAGUGCUCCAGGCAGGCCUAUGCUCGAAUACAUUAGCAUGGAAUAAUAGAAUAGGACGUGUGGUUCUAUUUUGUUGGUUUCUAGGACCGCCGUAAUGAUUAAUAGGGACAGUCGGGGGCAUCAGUAUUCAAUUGUCAGAGGUGAAAUUCUUGGAUUUAUUGAAGACUAACUACUGCGAAAGCAUUUGCCAAGGAUGUUUUCAUUAAUCAGGAACGAAAGUUAGGGGAUCGAAGACGAUCAGAUACCGUCGUAGUCUUAACCAUAAACUAUGCCGACUAGGGAUCGGACGGUGUUAUUU
rnacentral:rRNA from 1 species